rnacentral:rRNA from 1 species
UCCUGGCCAAAUUGCCGCCACUGGCCCUUGUCAAUCUUGGCCUCGUUGCCCACUGAAGCUAAGCAGGGUUUAGCCUGGUCAGUACCUGGAGACCUCCUGGGAAAACUAGGUUGCUGUUGGAA